UUGGAUGGUUUUAUGCCCUUUGCUGUGGGAGUUUCCUUCUCUGACAGCUGUACCGACAAGAUCCUAUCAUUGUGCAAUGUGUGUUUCCUCUUGGUCAAUCCCGAGGUGCCCCUGGGCCAACACACUCUGCUGUUGUUGUUUAGAGCCACUUGAACAUGCCUGUUACCGCCUCUCUCCCAGUGGUAACCCGGGGGCGUGGCCCAAGACAUCAGGUGGGUAGUGUGUCAUCUCAGAUGUCUUUCUAAUCUUGUGGUGGAAAAUUUCCAAUGUAUAUUCACUCAAAAAGGUCAGAUGAAAGUCCACAGAAACUGGUGUGGUAUAGAUUUUCUUUUACAAAAACCAACCAUUAAUCACACACACACACACACACACACACACACACACACACACACACACAGAGAGAGAGAGAGAGAGAGAGAGAGAGAGAGAGAGAGAGAGAGAGAGAACUCCAGAUAACCCUCUUACAGCCGGAGUAAGAAAGACUUCCAAGGCUAGAACCAGAACAAACCAGAAUCUCAGGUCCUGGAAGAAAUCUGCUCCUGUACGGAAGGAAACAGAGAGGACACUGAGUAUCUGAUUCCUUUGUGGCUGUUGCUGUUUGAUGGAAAGUAAUUUCAAAGGAAUCACUCUUCAGAACAAACCCUCAAUUACGGUCGUAAUUAAUUAAUGAAUGACCGGCUUUCCGCUUCCAGGAUGCCUUUCAUCCCAGCACACCUUAAAACCAAACAAGCCAGCCUGUGCCUGGGAUGUCCCUGGGCUCCAGAGAGGAAAAGACGGCGUUGCUAACUUUACUGUUUGACCAGCAGCCCCUGGGCAGUCUCUGAUUUUGGUUGAGUCCCUGGACCAUUGGCUCGUGUGUGACCUACAGCAGGGGCUAUGGGAACAGGAAGCCUGUCAUGGUGAUCUGACACGCUUGAUGCAUCGUAACUGUCUGCCACGGUAAAGGUUGAGAAUGAAUAAUGAUGUAUGUAGUUUGGAACAAGGGGUCUGCGCUGGGUACUGGUGACUCCACUUAAUGAAGAAGUAGAAAUAAAAUGUCAGGGUCUAUGGAGAUAGCUCAGAGGGUCAGGGUCCUUGCUGUGCCAACCGGAGGACCAGGGAUCAAUGCCCCAGAGCCUAUGUGUAGUGUCGCUGUUAUAACCUUACCGUUGUUGGAGUGGGUGCAGAGACAGGAGGAUUUUUGGGGCUUAGAGGCCACCAGUGCAGCUCCUGGUUCAAUGAGAGAUUCUGUCUCAAUGGAGUAAGGUAGAAAGUAACAGAGUAGGACACCCAGUGUCCUUUACUGCCUUUUGGUAUGCUCCUCCUCACACAAACACGAGCCACACAUACAUAUGAGACAACAAAUGAAAUGUCAGCUAUCAGACGAGAUUUGGGGAUUACUCUUCAAUGCCACAAACUGCGCAGAUAAGGGAAAACGAGGUCUGUAGGGAAUGCAGGGUAGAUGAACUGAGUUAGGGAAGCUCCAGCGGAUUCUCCCUGCCACAUAGCGCUGUUAUCAGUCAUGAACAGGUCCUGAACAGCUCUUCUUCCAUAAUGGUAAUGGGUCUUCUUAGCCUCCUAGAUGUUGUUUUAUCCUUAUAACAACUAUUGGUUGUUUCCAGGUAUAGAUAAUGGGUAUCGUGUGUGUGUGUGUGUGUGUGUGUGUGUGUGUGUGUGUGUGUGUGUGUUACUACUGAGAAUGGAGCCUAUAACCAGGGGUAGGCAAACAGUUUCCUACUCACACCCAACCCUAGUGCAAAGCCCAGUUAUAAUACGCUUUGCAAAUAAAGGACCAGAGGAUCACCGAGGUGAGUGUCUCGGGUCUAUUUGCAUGUGCAGUGCAGUUGAGUGUGCGACUUUGUCUCUUCCUUGGAAAGAUGGGUUCAAAGGUUGCUUCCUUCAAUAGUCAUUUUCUGAAUUCUCUGAAAUGAAUUUCAUGCCCUGCUGGGAGGAAAUGACCCCCAUCUAGAUCCAAGGUCUUCCAACAGAAUGGGCCACUUGGUACCUCUGUUCUGCUGCAGAAGCCAGAACAACCACUGGGUCCGGGUGCUUCCCGUGCUUAGUGAGGUCAUUCUUACUCCUUUCAUACUGGAGGCAGAGUCUCUUCUGGCUGAAGCUGACCCUAAACUUGCUGUGUAGCGGAGGAGGGCCUUGAACUUAUGAUUCUCCUGUUUCCACCUCUUGAGUGUUAUCGGCCUAUGCCCGAUGCUCUUUAUGUGGUGCUGGGAGUAAGUCUCAGAACAUUUUACCCAGUAGCUAAGACCUCUGUCAGCCAAGCCGGGUCCCGACCCCCUCACUGCUGAUUACUUCGGUUACAGGCCUCCGAGACUGGAGCCUUCUGCCAUCCACCUUCUGAGUCCCGCUGCCUGGUCGGAGACUGUAUUGAAAUGCUUUUGUAAAUGGUGUUGUCUCAUAAACUUGGGAUUGAUGUCUUCUAGAGUUCAAAUUUUAACUCAGGCCCUUCCAUGCCAUUUUCUCUUAUCCCUGUGAGCAGUAUAAGCGACAGGACUCAAGCGGGAAAAGCCAAUCCAAUUGUAGCCCAUUCUGAAUAGAAAUAAAACCAUUGAAACACACCCGACCUGCUCCUUCUGUCCCUGCAUCAAAAACUGACCAAAGAAGGAGCCCGGAUUUUCCUUAUUUUGCCACCAAGAUUCUGGAAGACUAUAGUUGUGAUCGAAAGUUCAGUGGUUCUUAGAAGGGGAGCUUGGGACUGCUUAUGUCCCCAAUGAGAAAAAAAGUUAAAAAAAAGGUAAUGCUUCACGUCAACGUCUCUCCCAAAAUUCACACUGGGAUUUAAUCUGUACUGUAAAGCAUGGAGAGGUGGCACCAGGUGAGACCUCUGCCUCCAUGGAUGGAUUAAUCUAUGUACUAAUGGGUUGGUUGGUUAGCUGAUUAUCUUGAGAGGGAAUCUGUUGUAAACUGCAGUCUGGCUCUAUCUCUGACUCCCCUCACCACAUGAUAACCUGUCCUGCAGCAGGACUCUCCAGAGGGUCCCCCCAGGCACGAUGACCCCCACCAAAUAUGACACCUCAGCUUUGAACUCUAUGGGCUCCAGCAUUGUAAGAAGUCAACCUUAAGCUAUUCUGUUAUACCAGUAGAAAAAAAGACUAAGAGAGACAGAGGUAGUUAAACUAGUGGAAGUGUUGUCAUUUGAAUCUGAAAUGUCCCUCCAAGGCUCAAGUUCUUAAUAUUUCCAAAUGGUAUCACUGUUCUGGAAGACUGGAGGCCUUUAGGUAGUGAGGAAUAGCUGAUAGGAAGAUGUUACUGGGAGAAGACAUUGGAAGGUUACCUCCUCAUAGUAACCUCUCGGAUUCUGGCCUUGCUUUCUCCACUUCUUGAUCUAUCACUGCGUCUCUGCCAUACAUUAUGGAUGCCAUGAAUUUCACUGCUCCUUUCCCACUAUGACGGACUGAGACUGUCUGGAACCAUGAGCCAAAAUGAUGUUUUUCUUUCUUAGGUUGCUCCUGUGAGGUCCCUGGUCACAUCGAUACUGAAAUCCCUGACUCAGCAAGAGAGUAAACAACUGAGUGACUAGUAGGAAGUCGCAUUCUGACGUACACACAAAGCUCUUCGUCACUGGCUUUUGACUCAAGUUUGUGGUAGUCUCUGGGUUCCGUUGACAUGAACCCAGCCUCCGGAAGGAGGAAAACACGACCCUGCCUCCAGCGAGUACAAGGCCCAGGCUGCACUCUUAAAUUCUUUCACAAGAAUCUGAAUGGAAUUGAUCCAUCCCCAGUCACUCCAGGAGGUUGAGCGUUCAGUUCACUGCUGUCCUUGAACUCAGAAGUCCUUCUUCCUCAACCUCCCACGAGCUGGGAUCCAGCAUGGGCAGGAAAAGAUGCAAUGGAGAGGCUGAGCCAAUACGAAUGAGGGGCUGACAGGAGCUACUUUACAUAUUUCAUUGAGAAAUUAACAACAGAAGAGGCUCUUCCUGGAGACUUGCAUUCCACUGCUCUGUGUAAGCCACUGCUCUUCUGGAGGAAGCAUUCGGCUGAGCUGUGAGUCCAGCAAGGCAAAUGUCUUUGAUGGCACUGCGGAUUUCUGCUACCUGAGCCUCCAGGUUAUGGAUCAGACUCUGGAUUUGGGCCAGCAGGGCUGUGUAUCGGGCCUCUGUCUCUGCUAGGAUGCAUUCCUGGGAAUCUCUCUGUGGAAGAGGAGGGAAACAGAUUCUAAGAUGACUCCUUUAAAAUUCCCAGAAGGCCAUUGUAAAAGACAUUUUAAACAAUAACUUCUCUGUGACAGUACUAAGAGUUCUCUAAGUCCUUUAUUACUUCCUAACCAAAUAAACCCAAAACAAAAAUGA